AUAAGCCAGCCCCAACUAAAUGACACCUGGUCAUGGUGUCUCUUCACAGCAAUGAAAACCCUAACGAAGACAGAUAUGAAGUGUACCACAAAGGGCUCAUAGCCGGAGCAGCGGCGCUCUGGGCAGGUAAGCUAGCUUCAUCUGUGAAGAACUCCCUUGGUGACUUCAUGGCUAAAUAGGAAGUUGGGCCAAGUUAGAAUUAGUGGCGUGCGCAGAUCAAGCUUUUGAAUGGUGUGUCUUAUCCUCAUGCCCUUCCUUCCCCUCUCUGUCUCCCUCUGCAUCUCCCUCUACUUUCCAGCUGCCGGGAAGUGAGAGGACUCUGUCACGCCCUUUCGCCAUACAGUUCUGCUUCGCUACAGGCCCACAAGCAAGAGGAAUGAAGAUAUCCUUUGGCUACAGAGAGGACUGCAGAAGUGGUCCCCCAAGAAACUGGAAUUUCCCCAGGAAUCUCAUGCUGGGAGAAAGAAAAGGCUGAAGCUAUGCCAGCCCCGAGGACUGGAGGACUGCUGCGUUCUUUCCAUCCACAGAACUAAACACAUUAGAUGGAAAAGGGUUUCUCAGUAGCCCUGACUGUCAAAGAACUCACCCUGUAGACCAGGCUGGCCUCGGACCCAUCAAUCCACCCACAUGCCGCUGCCACCUGAAUGCAUGGGAUUAAUGACACGAACAACUCCACUGGGCGUAUUCAGAUGAUCUCAAGUGGAAAUAGAAGAACAAAAGAGGUGGCCACAAGAAGACGUCAUUGCUGAUUUGGAAGCCGAAAGAUGAGGGUAUGAGCUGGGGGCUGAGGUCAGGCUCUCACCGGCGCUAGGCAAGUGUUCUACCCUUGAGCUACAUCCCUAGCUGAGGCGGGGACUGAAGCAGAGAUCACAGGGGAACAGCACUUACUGGCAUGCUCUCUAUACAACCCAGAACCA
rnacentral:sRNA from 1 species